GGGGCCGGCCUGGAGCGGAUGGGCCCUGUGAUGGAUCGCAUGGCCACCGGCCUGGAGCGCAUGGGCGCCAACAACCUGGAGUGCAUGAGCCUCGAGCGGAUGGGCGCCAACAGCCUGGAGCGCAUGGGUCUGGAGCGCAUGGGUGCCAACAGCCUGGAGCGCAUGGGCCCCGCCAUGGGCCCGGCCCUGGGCGCUGGCAUCGAGCGCAUGGGCCUGGCCAUGGGUGGCGGUGGUGGUGCCAGCUUUGACCGUGCCAUCGAGAUGGAACGUGGAAACUUUGGAGGAAGCUUCGCAGGCUCUUUUGGUGGAGCUGACAGCCAUGCUCCUGGGGUGGCCAGGAAGGCUUGCCAGAUAUUUGUGAGAAAUCUCCCGUUUGAUUUUACAUGGAAGAUGCUAAAGGACAAAUUCAACGAAUGUGGCCACGUGCUGUAUGCUGACAUCAAGAUGGAGAAUGGGAAGUCCAAGGGCUGCGGAGUGGUUAAGUUUGAAUCGCCAGAGGUGGCUGAGAGAGCCUGUCGGAUGAUGAACGGCGUGAAGCUGAGCGGCCGAGAGAUCGAUGUUCGGAUCGAUAGAAAUGCUUAAGCAGUUGCCUUUUUUAAACAUCAAUACCAGACCUCUGAAUUUGUAUUUUUUCUUGUUAACCAUUUUAAUUUGUUGGCUGGAUGUAUAAAGAUGUUUAAAAAAUUCAGUUGCUUUUUGGGGUAAUUUGAAUUACUUUUUUAAUGACUGGGGUUCCAUUUGACUGUUUGCAUUGAGAUUGCAAUGUGCGCAAUUUUUUUUGUAGUUGUGGCAUCUUGUUGACAUCAGAUAUGACUUUGAUAAUAAAUACCAGUUCCUGA